AAUUCUGUCGGCUUCACAGAGUAUAUCUGGAAUCUGACCACUUCUCACCUCCCCUGCCACCUCUCCCAUCUGAGCUGCCAUCGUCUCCCAUCUUGGUCAUUGUGGUAGCUUCCUCAAUGCUCCCUUGCUUCCACUCUUCCCUCCUGUACUGUAUAUUCAGCCCAGAUGGAGCUCAUUAAAAAUUCAACUGGCAUUCUUUCUAGGGCUGCCAUGAAAGUUGUGUGGGUUGGAUGCCUGGCCAAAGGACCAAGCGCAGACCCAGGCUCUGCUUGCCAAGCUGUGUGCCCAGCCACCGGGUAGCCUCUGCCCAGAGGAGUGACCUUCUCCUAAUUUGCAUGAAGAUGCUCUAUAAGGAAGAACUGUCUGAAGGACAGGGCAGAGAAGAUGGAACGGUGGCCAACAGCCAUCCAGAUCCAUGUAUCCAACUGCCCGCUGCUUUCUACGUACCUGGAAGUCUCUCAGGCACCCCCAAAGCAGCAAGUCCAAAAUUGAACUCAUUGGCUCCCUUCCUUCACCCUCCCAUAAACCUGCUCUUCUUACUUCAACUGGUGGCCAUAGCAGUUCCCAUGCCAGAAACCUAGGACACCCCCUCACUACCUCUCACUCUUUUACCCCCACAUGCAAUCAAUCUUCUAAAAAUUUUUUCAAAAAGAUACCCCCUUUUGGGACUUCCCUGGUGGUCCAGUGGUUAAGACUUCACCUUCCAAUGCGGGGGGUGCGGGUUCAGUCCCUGGUCGGGGAGCUAAGCUCCCACAUGCCUCGUGACCAAAAAACCAAAACACAUAAAACAGAAGCAAUAUUGUAACAAAUUCAAUAAAGACUUUUAAGAAAUGGUCCUCAUUAAAAAAAAAAAAAGAUACCCCCUUUCACUGCCUUAGUUCAGUUCCUCAUUGUCUCACUUGUUCUCUAUGACAGCAGCCUCCCAACCCUUUUUCCACUGCCAUCACCCCAGUUCACCCUGCAGCCAGAGUGGUCUUUCUUAAAAGCGUAUCUGACUCUGUGACUCAGAUAUGAGAACCCUUGAGAACCCUUCAAGGGUCCCUCGUGACAAGAGGGUGCUAUCUAAGCUUUCAGACCCCCACAUGGCCCAGCCCCACCUGCCCCUCCGACCUCACAGUCCACUCCUUCCUGAUCUUAUAGUUUUUCCUCCUGUAAACAUGAGCUACAUGUCGUUCCCAGGACAUGCCGUGUGACCUCACGCCUCCAUGCUCUGUAGAUGUGCUCCCCUCUGCCCGCAGUGCUUUCCUCCACCUUCUCUCCCAGGCAAGCGCCUCUUUCAUCUACCAUCUUAGAAAGUCAUUUGGAUGGAGCAGCAUCAAAUCCUGCUUUCUUGCUUACUAGUUGGAAAUUUAGGUCACUUUUAAAAACCCUCUGUGCCUCUGUUUCUCUUCUGUAAAAUGAGAAUAAUGACAGAGCCCACCUCAUUGAGUUUUUCUAGUCAUUAAGGGAGUUAAUUGAUGGAAGGUUCUAGCAAUGUGUCUGGAACAUGGUAAACAAUAAAUGUUUGCUGGGUUUUAAUUAUCUAAUCAAUCCUCAAAUAAAUCACCUCUUCUGUCUUCGAUGCCAUUUCUGCACCUUGUUCAAAUGUCUGCCAUGCACUUACCUCAGUAUGAGAUGACUGGUUUACUCGUCUGUCUCUCAGACUGGACUCACGGGACUGGGGGCUCUUUGAGGGCCAGUCUUUAAAUGAGGGCUCAGUAAAUAUUGAUUCCAUUUAAUUGACCUAAUGAAAUAAAGACCAACCUUCAGUAAGAUGUUCAGAAGGGCUACGCCAGGAGGGAACCCUGCAAACUCUUUUCUUCCAGUUCGUGGCUCUGUAGCAGUUUGUGUUCCAAGGUGGCCCGGCAGCCCCUCUGCCUUCAUGGCCAAUGCCCCGUCUCCGGCUUCCACACUGCCGCU